UACGAGGGGGGCAAGCGUUGUUCGGAAUUACUGGGCGUAAAGGGCUCGUAGGCGGCCAACUAAGUCCGACGUGAAAUCCCAAGGCUUAACCUUGGAACUGCGUCGGAUACUGGAUGGCUUGAAUUCGGGAGAGGGAUGCAGAAUUCCAGGUGUAGCGGUGAAAUGCGUAGAUAUCUGGAGGAAUACCGGUGGCGAAGGCGGCAUCCUGGACCGACAUUGACGCUGAUGAGCGAAAGCCAGGGGAGCGAACGGG
rnacentral:rRNA from 1 species